rnacentral:tRNA from 2 species
GCGCCUUUAGCUCAGCUGGUAGAGCAGCGGACUCUUAAUCCGAAGGUCGUGGGUUCAAAUCCCUCAAGACGCACCA